CCUACGGGCGGCUGCAGUGGGGAAUAUUGCACAAUGGGCGCAAGCCUGAUGCAGCCAUGCCGCGUGUGUGAAGAAGGCCUUCGGGUUGUAAAGCACUUUCAGCGGGGAGGAAGGCGGUGAGGUUAAUAACCUCAUCGAUUGACGUUACCCGCAGAAGAAGCACCGGCUAACUCCGUGCCAGCAGCCGCGGUAAUACGGAGGGUGCAAGCGUUAAUCGGAAUUACUGGGCGUAAAGCGCACGCAGGCGGUCUGUCAAGUCGGAUGUGAAAUCCCCGGGCUCAACCUGGGAACUGCAUUCGAAACUGGCAGGCUAGAGUCUUGUAGAGGGGGGUAGAAUUCCAGGUGUAGCGGUGAAAUGCGUAGAGAUCUGGAGGAAUACCGGUGGCGAAGGCGGCCCCCUGGACAAAGACUGACGCUCAGGUGCAAAAGCGUGGGGAGCAAACAGGAUUAGAUACCCCUGUAGUC
rnacentral:rRNA from 1 species